GACGAACGCUGUCGGCGUGCUUAACACAUGCAAGUCGAACGGAAAGGCCCUGCUUUUGUGGGGUGCUCGAGUGGCGAACGGGUGAGUAACACGUGAGUAACCUGCCCUUGACUUUGGGAUAACUUCAGGAAACUGGGGCUAAUACCGGAUAGGAGCUCCUGCUGCAUGGUGGGGGUUGGAAAGUUUCGGCGGUUGGGGAUGGACUCGCGGCUUAUCAGCUUGUUGGUGGGGUAGUGGCUUACCAAGGCUUUGACGGGUAGCCGGCCUGAGAGGGUGACCGGCCACAUUGGGACUGAGAUACGGCCCAGACUCCUACGGGAGGCAGCAGUGGGGAAUAUUGCACAAUGGGCGGAAGCCUGAUGCAGCAACGCCGCGUGCGGGAUGACGGCCUUCGGGUUGUAAACCGCUUUCGCCUGUGACGAAGCGUGAGUGACGGUAAUGGGUAAAGAAGCACCGGCUAACUACGUGCCAGCAGCCGCGGUGAUACGUAGGGUGCGAGCGUUGUCCGGAUUUAUUGGGCGUAAAGGGCUCGUAGGUGGUUGAUCGCGUCGGAAGUGUAAUCUUGGGGCUUAACCCUGAGCGUGCUUUCGAUACGGGUUGACUUGAGGAAGGUAGGGGAGAAUGGAAUUCCUGGUGGAGCGGUGGAAUGCGCAGAUAUCAGGAGGAACACCAGUGGCGAAGGCGGUUCUCUGGGCCUUUCCUGACGCUGAGGAGCGAAAGCGUGGGGAGCGAACAGGCUUAGAUACCCUGGUAGUCCACGCUGUAAACGGUGGGUACUAGGUGUGGGGUCCAUUCCACGGGUUCCGUGCCGUAGCUAACGCUUUAAGUACCCCGCCUGGGGAGUACGGCCGCAAGGCUAAAACUCAAAGGAAUUGACGGGGCCCCGCACAAGCGGCGGAGCAUGCGGAUUAAUUCGAUGCAACGCGUAGAACCUUACCUGGGUUUGACAUGGAUCGGGAGUGCUCAGAGAUGGGUGUGCCUCUUUUGGGGUCGGUUCACAGGUGGUGCAUGCCUGUCGUCAGCUCGUGUCGUGAGAUGUUGGGUUAAGUCCCGCAACGAGCGCAACCCUUGUUCACUGUUGCCAGCACGUUAUGGUGGGGACUCAGUGGAGACCGCCGGGGACAACUCGGAGGAAGGUGGGGAUGACGUCAAGUCCUCAUGCCCCUUAUGUCCAGGGCUUCACGCAUGCUACAAUGGCUGGUACAGAGAGUGGCGAGCCUGUGAGGGUGAGCGAAUCUCGGAAAGCCGGUCUCAGUUCGGAUUGGGGUCUGCAACUCGACCUCAUGAAGUCGGAGUCGCUAGUAAUCGCAGAUCAGCAACGCUGCGGUGAAUACGUUCCCGGGGCU
rnacentral:rRNA from 1 species